UACAGAGGGUGCAAGCGUUAUUCGGAAUUACUGGGCGUAAAGCGUGCGUAGGCGGUUACAUAAGUCGGAUGUGAAAGCCCCGGGCUCAACCUGGGAAUUGCAUUCGAGACUGUGUAGCUAGGAUGCGGAAGAGGGAAGCGGAAUUUCCGGUGUAGCGGUGAAAUGCGUAGAUAUCGGAAGGAACACCAGUGGCGAAAGCGGCUUCCUGGGCCAGCAUCGACGUUCAGGCACGAAAGCGUGGGGAGCAAACAGG
rnacentral:rRNA from 1 species